ACUGCUCAGUAACACGUGGACAACCUGCCCUUAGGACGGGGAUAAACCCGGGAAACUGGGUAUAAUACCCGAUAGGUCUCGAUUGCUGGAAUGCAUCGAGAUUUAAAGCUCCGGCGCCUAAGGAUGGGUCUGCGGCCUAUCAGGUAGUAGUGGGUGUAGCGUACCUACUAGCCUACGACGGGUACGGGUUGUGAGAGCAAGAGCCCGGAGAUGGAUUCUGAGACACGAAUCCAGGCCCUACGGGGUGCAGCAGGCGCGAAAACUUUACAAUGCUGGCAACAGCGAUAAGGGAACCUCGAGUGCCAGGUUACAAAUCUGGCUGUCGAGAUGCCUAAAAAGCAUUUCAUAGCAAGGGCCGGGCAAGACCGGUGCCAGCCGCCGCGGUAACACCGGCGGCUCGAGUGGUAACCGUUAUUAUUGGGUCUAAAGGGUCUGUAGCCGGCCGGAUAAGUCUCUUGAGAAAUCUGGCAGCUUAACUGUCAGGCUUUCAGGAGAUACUGUCUGGCUCGAGGCCGGGAGAGGUGAGAGGUACUUCAGGGGUAGGGGUGAAAUCUUGUAAUCCUUGAAGGACCACCAGUGGCGAAGGCGUCUCACCAGAACGGACCUGACGGCAAGGGACGAAAGCUAGGGGCACGAACCGGAUUAGAUACCCGGGUAGUCCUAGCCGUAAACGAUACUCGCUAGGUGUCGGCCACGGUGCUACCGUUGUCGGUGCCGUAGGGAAGCCGUGAAGCGAGCCACCUGGGAAGUACGGCCGCAAGGCUGAAACUUAAAGGAAUUGGCGGGGGAGCAC
rnacentral:rRNA from 1 species